AGCAGCCACCUUUUAAAAAGCGUCAAAGCUUAACCUAAUUCCUCUAAAAUACCAUUAACCUUAAUGAACCCCUAAUCUAUAAUGAAUGACCCCAUAUAAAUAUGGAAGACACCAUGCUAGGAUAAGUAACAAGAAUUAAUAAUUCUCCAAAAUGCAAACAUACACCAGCAUGGAUAAACCAUUGGUAAUUACCGAAUCUGAACUUACUGCAACAACACUUACAAGAAAACCAUGCAGUAUUUGCUCGUUAACCUAACACUAGUGCAUUUCAGGAAAGAUUUAAAAAAAGAGAAGGAAUUCGGCAAAUGAAAGCCCCGCCUGUUUACCAAAAACAUCGCCUCUUGAUUUAUGAUAAGAGGUCCAGCCUGCCCAGUGAAUUUUUAACGGCCGCGGUAUCCUAACCGCGCGAAGGUAGCAUAAUCACUUGUUCUUUAAAUGGGGACUCGUAUCAACGGCAUCACGAGGGUUUUACUGUCUCCUCUUUUUGAUCAGUGAAAUUGAUCUUCCCGUGAAGAAGCGGGAAUACUCAUAUAAGACGAGAAGACCCCAUGGAGCUUAAAACCAAAUAGUAACUUAACCACAUAUUUCCUUAUAACUUUAAGCCUAUACUAUGAGGUUUUUGGUUGGGGUGACCGCGGAGUAAAACAUAUCCUCCACGACGGAAAGACUACAAUCUUUAUUUAAGAACCACAGUUCUAAAAAUUAGCAUACUAACGUUUACUGACCCGAUAAUCGAUCAACGGAACAAGUUACCCUGGGGAUAACAGCGCAAUCUACUUCAAGAGCCCAUAUCGACGAGUAGGCUUACGACCUCGAUGUUGGAUCAGGGUAUCCCAGUGGUGCAGCCAUUACUGAAGGUUCGUUUGUUCAACGAUUAAAACCCUACGUGAUC
rnacentral:rRNA from 1 species